rnacentral:rRNA from 1 species
CCCUUAGAUGUUCUGGGCUGCACGCGCGCUACACUGAUGCGCUCAACGAGUUUUAACCUUGCCUGGAAAGGUUGGGUAAUCUUUUUAAAACGCAUCGUGAUGGGGAUAGAUUAUUGCAAUUAUUAAUCUUCAACGAGGAAUUCCUAGUAAGCGCGAGUCAUCAGCUUGCAUUGAUUACGUCCCUGCCCUUUGUACACACCGCCCGUCGCUCCUACCGAUUGAAUGAUCCGAUGAAUAUCAUGGAUUGAGGAUGCAAGUAGGUUAGCCUAUCUUCAUCUUCGAGAAGUGAAGUAAAUCUUAUCAUUUAGAGGAAGGAGAAGUCGUAACA